rnacentral:rRNA from 1 species
GACGAACGCUGGCGGCGUGCUUAACACAUGCAAGUCGAACGGAAAGGCCCUUCGGGGUACUCGAGUGGCGAACGGGUGAGUAACACGAGGGUGAUCUGCCCUGCACUUUGGGAUAAGCCUGGGAAACUGGGUCUAAUACCGGAUAGGACCACGGCAUUCAGGUGCUGUGGUGGAAAGCUUUUGCGGUGGGGGAUGGGCCCGCGGCCUAUCAGCUUGUUGGUGGGGUAAUGGCCUACCAAGGCGACGACGGGUAGCCGGCCUGAGAGGGUGACCGGCCACACUGGGACUGAGAUACGGCCCAGACUCCUACGGGAGGCAGCAGUGGGGAAUAUUGCACAAUGGGCGCAAGCCUGAUGCAGCGACGCCGCGUGAGGGAUGACGGCCUUCGGGUUGUAAACCUCUUUCGCCAGGGACGAAGCGCAAGUGACGGUACCUGGUGAAGAAGGACCGGCCAACUACGUG